CAGUAAGUUUUUUCUCAGAAGGUGCCAUUGUAUAAAAACUUUUGCGGACACCAAAAAGAAAUAAUUAGCAGUUGUUCAAGCACAACAGCUGUAAUUUGUAGAUUUAAUGAUCAAUGAAAGUUAUUUACUAAAACUUCGAAAAAGUAAUUAGGAAAGAAAAAAUUAGCGAAACCGAGCACCAAUUUGGAAACUGGUGGUUUUUUUCAAG